rnacentral:tRNA from 1 species
GGGGCAUUAGCUCAGUUGGCUAGAGCGCUUGCAUGGCAUGCAAGAGGUCAUCGGUUCAACUCCGAUAUGCUCCACCA